UACGGAGGAUCCGAGCGUUAUCCGGAUUUAUUGGGUUUAAAGGGUGCGUAGGCUGUAAGGUAAGUCAGCGGUGAAAUGCCCCCGCUCAACGGGGCGAAGUGCCAUUGAUACUGCCUUGCUGGAAUGCGGAUGCCGUGGGAGGAAUGUGUGGUGUAGCGGUGAAAUGCAUAGAUAUCACACAGAACACCGAUUGCGAAGGCAGCUCACUGGACUGCAACUGACACUGAGGCUCGAAAGUGUGGGUAUCAAACAGG
rnacentral:rRNA from 1 species